UGGGGAAUUUUGGACAAUGGGCGCAAGCCUGAUCCAGCCAUGCCGCGUGCGGGAAGAAGGCCUUCGGGUUGUAAACCGCUUUUGUCAGGGAAGAAAUCUUCUGAGUUAAUACCUCGGGAGGAUGACGGUACCUGAAGAAUAAGCACCGGCUAACUACGUGCCAGCAGCCGCGGUAAUACGUAGGGUGCAAGCGUUAAUCGGAAUUACUGGGCGUAAACGUGCGCAGGCGGUUUUGUAAGACAGAGGUGAAAUCCCCGGGCUCAACCUGGGAACUGCCUUUGUGACUGCAAGGCUUGAGUGCGGCAGAGGGGGAUGGAAUUCCGCGUGUAGGCAGUGAAAUGCGUAGAUAUGCGGAGGAACACCGAUGGCGAAGGCAAUCCCCU
rnacentral:rRNA from 1 species